rnacentral:rRNA from 1 species
UCCGGGGGGGGCAAGCGUUGUUCGGAAUUACUGGGCGUAAAGGGCUCGCAGGCGGCCAACUAAGUCGGAUGUGAAAUCCCCAGGCUCAACCUGGGAACUGCAUCCGAUACUGGAUGGCUUGAAUUCGGGAGAGGGAUGCAGAAUUCCAGGUGUAGCGGUGAAAUGCGUAGAUAUCUGGAGGAAUACCGGUGGCGAAGGCGGCAUCCUGGACCGACAUUGACGCUGAGGAGCGAAAGCCAGGGGAGCAAACGGG